rnacentral:rRNA from 1 species
UACAGAGGUCUCGAGCGUUAAUCGGAGUCACUGGGCUUAGAGGGUGCGUAGGCGGCGCCGCAAGUGCCUUGUGAAAUCCCACGGCUCAACCGUGGAAUUGCUCGGCAGACUGCGGCGCUUGAGGUCGGUAGGGGUCGCUGGAACUCUAGGUGGAGCGGUGAAAUGCGUAGAUAUCUAGAGGAACGCCAAAGGUGAAGACAGGCGACUGGGCCGAUUCUGACGCUGAGGCACGAAAGCGUGGGGAGCGAACGGG